rnacentral:rRNA from 1 species
CCUACGGGAGGCUGCAGUGAGGAAUAUUGGUCAAUGGGCGCGAGCCUGAACCAGCCAAGUCGCGUGAGGGAGGACGGCCCUACGGGUUGUAAACCUCUUUUGCCGGGGAGCAACGGGCGCCACGUGUGGCGUCACUGAGAGUACCCGGAGAAAAAGCAUCGGCAAACUCCGUGCCAGCAGCCGCGGUAAUACGGAGGAGGCGAGCGUUAUCGGGAUUUAUUGGGUUUAAGGGUUGCGUGGGCGGAUCGUUAAGUAAGUGGUCAAAUUGAGGGGCUCAACCCCUUCCCGCCAUUGAAACUGGCGUUCUUGAGUGGAAGAGAAGUAUGCGGAAUGCGUGGUGUAGCGGUGAAAUGCAUAGAUAUCACGCAGAACCCCGAUUGUGAAGGCAGCAUGCCGGCUUCCGACUGACGCUGAAGCACGAAAGCGUGGGGAUCGAACAGGAUUAGAUACCCCAGUAGUC